CUAGAGGAGACUGCCGAUGACAAAUCGGAGGAAGGUGGGGAUGACGUCAAAUCCAUCAUGCCCUUUAUGCCCUGGGCUACACACGUGCUACAAUGGUCGGUACAACGAGGAGCAAACCAGUGAUGGCAAGCAAAUCUCUAAAAGCCGAUCCCAGUUCGGAUUGUAGGCUGCAACUCGCCUACAUGAAGUCGGAGUUGCUAGUAAUCGCGGAUCAGAAUGUCGCGGUGAAUGCGUUCCCGGGUCUUGUACACACCGCCCGUCACACCAUGGGAGUUGUCAAUACCCGAAGCCAGUGAGCUAACCAGUAAUGGAGGCAGCUGUCGAAGGUAGGGGCGAUGACUGGGGUGAAGUCGUAACAAGGUAACCGUAA
rnacentral:rRNA from 1 species